CUGUGCAAUUCAUUGCUGCAGAAGGUUGCGGAGACUGUCAUCGGGUAUAUUUAAAGCGCAGAUUGAAGGUUCUUGAUUAGUCAGGGCAUCAAAGGUUAUGGGGAGAAGGCAAGAGAAUGAGGUGAGGAGAUAUAGAUCAGCCAUGAUUGAAUGUCGGAGU